AGUCUUGGCCGAGCUACGGGGGCCAGAACGUCACAGCGGCCGUGGGGGAUGGAGAGGCUCCACAUAAUGGGAGUGGAUUAUUUGGGAACAAGGAACCAGGGAUCAGCAGCGCCUUGUGUGUGCUGGAAGACCAGAACUGGGUCAUCCAAGGGGGAGGUGGCUGAGGACUCAAAGCCCUUGCCUGUUUGGAUCUCCACCAAACUAGGACUCCAUUUGACAGCUCUGCUCUGCCUCGUGUCUCCCCACAGCGCAUUAGCCCUGCCUCUGGUAGAAGACUGAUUUGGAACCUCAAUUCCUCCAAAGAACUGACGGCAAGAAUAUAAGAUGUCAUUAAAGAAUUAGAGAGGCAGAAAGAGAAGAUGGACUGCUCAUGUGGCAAGAGAGGAAUGACAGAUAAACAGUAUUCUACUGGUACCCUCUCAAUGUUGGGAGAAAGUGAGGAAGGCAACCAGAAUGGUAAACAGGAAUGAGAAAGAUCCAAGAUGGGCAGGCUUGGAGGAGCUGGGACGCAUAUUAUUGGAAAGAACUCCUGAACUGAUGAGAUCCCAGACCCAUUCAUAGAGGUGAGUCAGUAUAGAUUGCUCUCUUGGUUCUGCUUUCUUCACUCUGCAUCAGUUCAUAGAAGUCUUUGCAUGUUUCUCUGAAUUCCUCAUACUCAUUAGUUCUUCCAGACAAUGAUAUUCCGUUCUUUUUCUGUACCACUCUUUCUCCAGGAAUCUUCUAAGUGGCCUAAGUGACAGAUAUUCAUUUUGUGUUUUGAGGUUCUUAUUAUCAUAGAGGGUGCUAUAACUAUUUUGGUCUCUAUUGGAUCUUUCUGCCAUCAUCUUCCUUGCUUUUCACGAUUUUUUCAGUGGAAGGCAGAUGUUCUCUCCUUCCCCUAAUUUUCAUUGAGCACUUUUCUGGACCUCUCCUUUUUUAUGAAUCUUUUUGCAUUACACACAAUUCAGCACUUCAAUUGAAUGCAUUUUUAUUAAGUAUCUCUUAUGUCUAAGGAGCUCUUCAAGGUCCUGAGAGUACAGAAACAAAGACAGAGAAAUUCCUGCCCUCAAGGACCUUACAUUCUACUUAGAAGAUAUAACACAUAAGUAUAUAAAUAUAAAAUAAUUUCGAGAGGGAGAGAGUAUGUGAAUAAUAAUGGCAAAGUGUGGGGCAAGAGAAUUAGGAAAAACUUUUUGUAGGGAGGGCACUUAUGUUGAGCCUUAAAGGAAGCUAGAGAUUCUACAAGUUGGGGUGGGUAUGCUCUAGACAUUGUAUUUUUCUCUUUGUGUGUACUAUUUCU
rnacentral:lncRNA from 1 species